GACGAACGCUGGCGGCGUGCUUAACACAUGCAAGUCGAACGAUGAAGCCGGAGCUUGCUCUGGUGAAUUAGUGGCGAACGGGUGAGUAACACGUGAGUAACCUGCCCUUGACUCUGGGAUAACUGCGGGAAACUGUAGCUAAUGCCGGAUACGACCCUCGGAGGCAUCUCCUGGGGGUGGAAAGAAUUUCGGUCAAGGAUGGACUCGCGGCCUAUCAGCUAGUUGGUGAGGUAAAGGCUCACCAAGGCGACGACGGGUAGCCGGGCUGAGAGGGUGACCGGCCACACUGGGACUGAGACACGGCCCAGACUCCUACGGGAGGCAGCAGUGGGGAAUAUUGCACAAUGGGCGCAAGCCUGAUGCAGCAACGCCGCGUGAGGGAUGACGGCCUUCGGGUUGUAAACCUCUUUUAGCAGGGAAGAAGCGAAAGUGACGGUACCUGCAGAAAAAGCACCGGCUAACUACGUGCCAGCAGCCGCCGUAA
rnacentral:rRNA from 1 species